UAGUCCACACCGUAAACGAUGAGAGCUAGUUGUCUGCAGGCAUGCCUGUAGGUGACGCAGCUAACGCAUUAAGCUCUCCGCCUGGGGAGUACGGUCGCAAGACUAAAACUCAAAGAAAUUGACGGGGACCCGCACAAGCGGUGGAGUAUGUGGCUUAAUUCGAUGCAACGCGAAGAACCUUACCCAGACUUGACAUGCAUUUCUAAAGCGGUGAAAGCCGUGGAGCGGAGCAAUCCGCAACUUGCACAGGUGCUGCAUGGCUGUCGUCAGCUCGUGUCGUGAGAUGUUCGGUUAAGUCCGGCAACGAGCGCAACCCCUGUCUUUAGUUGCCAGCACGUGAUGGUGGGGACUCUAGAGAGACUGCCGGUAUAAAAACCGGGAGGAAGGGUGGGGGACGACGUCAAGUCAGUAUGGCCCUUACGUCUGGGGGCUGCACACGUACUACAAUGCCCAGUACAAUGAGAACCGAGACCGCGAGGGUGGGAGGGAAAUCUAC
rnacentral:rRNA from 1 species